GCCUAACGGCUGAACUGGCAACUUGGAGAAGUGGCAAGUCUUCCAGUAUGGGGAGCAAAACAGCUAUGGGUCAAGUCCGAUAUCUUUAGGAGAAGUCUUAUUGUGAGGGCGAGUUAUAUAACACCAUAGGACUGGCCGUCCCAUAUGAAAAGAUUAUAUUAGAAUUGAAUGAAGCUUUGUUUAUAUAUUGAUAAUGACAGUAUAUAUAUCGUGUCUUGACUAAUUGCGUGCCAGCAGUCGCGGUAAUACGUAAGAGACUAGUGUUAUUCAUCUUAAUUAGGUUUAAAGGGUACCCAGACGGUCAAUAUAGCUUAUAAAAUGUUAGUACUUGACUAGAGUUUUAUGUAAGAGGGCAGUACUUGAGGAGGAGAGAUGAAAUUUCGUGAUACCAAAGGGACUCUGUAAAGGCGAAGGCAGCCCUCUAUGUAAAAACUGACGUUGAAGGACGAAGGCACAGAGAACAAACAGGAUUAGAUACCCAAGUAGUCUUUGCAGUAAAUGAUGAAUGCCAUAGGUUAGAUUGAUCAAUUAUAGUCUAGGGUUAGUCUAGCAAACUAAUGCCCUAUGAUAUAAUUAAAAUAUCUGGUCUAUAAAUGAAAGUGUAAGCAUUUCACCUCAAGAGUAAUGUGGCAACGCAGGAACUGAAAUCACUAGACCGUUUCUGACACCAGUA
rnacentral:rRNA from 2 species